UCUCUCUCUUUCCUAUUCGGGUAUACCCUAGAGGCGCCACCUCUGAGCUCUCUCCCUCUCUCAUCACGCAGAUGGAUAAUAUUCCGAGCAUGCACGGUCCUCACAGAUGUAGUACAGCCCGAAUCAUGAAAAUAAUUAAUGUUUGGUCUCCUUUCCAUUCAAACUUGUCCCAAACGGUACUAAAAUCCCUCCUUUUAUUCUUUCGUUGCAUUUUUAAGUCAAAAUUACGAUUUUUCUGUCAAUUAAUGUUAUAUUGCUUUAUGAUUUUGUGCUAUUUUCUAUUGGUCUUCGUGGGUUGACUCAGAUCGACUUUGAAAGGAACGAAUCUGGUCGUAGAUGUUGUUUUACUUUAAAUCUUAGAUGUUGAAUUCAUUUUCACUUGAAAAAUAGGAUUUGUACCACAUUGUGGUUUCAGUAUUUUGCACAGCCUUGGGGGUUCUAUAAAUAGGAUCUCAACCUUAAGAAGUGGAAGAGGUUUUGGAAGGUGAAAAAAAUGAUAGCAAAAUAUAGAGGAAUUUGAGAGUAAAAAGAAGUUGAAAAACUCAGAUUUUUUGAAAAAACUUCUUAAUAAAAAUAUAUAUUAUUUUUAAAACCCAGACUGAAUAGUUGGGGCUUUUAGUCAAAAUAUUUGGUCCUUACUUCAUUUCUUUUUUCGUGUGGGUGUGGCUGGGUUGCUGAGAUUUGGAAGCACAGAGGCUCCCAAAUCCGUUCUUUUCUUGGCUGCGCACUUAAAAGGAAAUGGUUGGAUCAGUUGGAUGACGGAUGAUGAUUUGGAAAUUGUAAUAAAACUGGACAAGGGAAAAGCUGUUUUCAAAAGAGGUAUACUGAUUAUUUUGGCAAAUAAAGUAGAAGAGUCUUUUAUUUUGUGAAGAUAACAUGAUGAUAUAUGACAAAACCUUUAACAAUUGGUUAAGUUAGGAUCAUGAUUUCGACCCUAUGUAGAUUCUAUGUGCAUUGAUGUGGUUUCAACCUGUAUUUUUUAAAAGGUGAUUUGUUCUCCCUUGCAUCCUAAGUCCUAAUAGUGCCUCUUUUGAAAAUAAGGAGGUCAGUGGUUCUGUGUUUAGUCAAGAUAGCAAUGAAGGCUGAUUUUUUUUUUUUGGGGGGGGGGGGGGGGGGUGUUAUAUCUGACCCUUUUCUUUAUGACACUUUGAACAAUAAGUCAUGCUCCCUUUCCAUCUUCUCCCUUGAACUGUGUUGUGAAUCCAUUAAUCUAAGGGCCCCAGUAAUAGAUGAAGCUGAGCCUAAUCUGGUUAUGUUGAAGAAUUAGUUUUCCUUCUGAGCAACAUUAAAGGUUAGUUAGAAAUAUGUGAUACUUGUCCAAUUUUGAAAAAGAUGAAGAUUAAGAAUAAGACCAUAACUAAAUUAGGUGCAUCCCUUUAAAAAAUUAAUUUAGACCUUUCUGUAAAUGAGAUAGAAUCAAGAGUAAAAGUUAGGAAAAUUCUAAACUCUGAACUUAGAAAAAUGUGGAAUUUCUAUGCAUUUUUGAGACUUUGACCUUCCUACUUGCUUAAGUUAUGUAUAAAGAUGUAACUGUUGUACCUGAGACUUGUAUAUCCUAUAUGGGAACCUGAUGACUUGAAGGUCUCUUGGCAGUUUUUUCUACGAAUGAUCCUAUCUUGGUUUUCAUUACUGCUUGUGUCUUGAAUUGGGUUUUGUGAGAAAUAAUAUAGCAUCAUAUCAAUAAAGGGUUGUUCCAUUUUAAAGAGACUUCCUGAUUUGCACCUGCCUGGUUCUGUUAUGCUAUAUCUAUGGAGAUUAUGGUUUGGAUCCUCCUGUUUAUCCUUUGUCUUCUCUAGAAGAAUCACUUAGACUUUGGAACAUAAUAUCCUAAAAAUGGCAAGAGUCUUCACUUGAAUUUUCCAUAAACUGUCUAGGCUCAUUUGAGGGUUAUGCUUAGAUAAUUUUACAUAUACUUCAUGUAUACUAAACCUGUUGUGAUUUUACUAUACCUAGAAGAUAGUUCUUCCUUAUCCUUAUGUGUCUCUAUACUUUAUCACAUCUGCCUGAUUCAAUAUUGUCCAGAAUGACAUUAUUUUCACAUGACUAUCACUGUUGUGAUUAUUUGGUUUAAGUUCAGUCUAGGCUGUACUAUGCCCAUACAGAUCACUUUUAUUUUCAUACUCAAGUAAUUUUAUCUCUCCUCUACUUGUUUCAUAUGUUCUUGUUGGCUGAUGGUUGUUCCAUACACAUGUGUAUUGGGCCUAUCCUAUUUGUUCUAAGCCAUGUGUGGGUGUAUGUGGAUCGGUGUCUUUCAUGGUUGUUGGUUGAAAGGUAGUUUAUGUAAAAAAGGGAUCUAGUUUGAACCAUUUCCUAGUGACCAGCCACGUCGGAGGUUCAUGAAACCUCUUGGAACUUGUGCGGCAUCAGGAAUAAAAGGGGUGAUGACUUGGGACUUGGCCUUCCACCACCUAGUUUGGAAUUUUGAGUUUGAGGACAUGGAACAUACAUAUGCCCCUCACAUGAGCUUAUGAAUAAAUAGGCUAUGUUUCUUAUAUGUGUGUAUAUUUAUGUAUAGAAUGGAUUUAUAAACUGUAGUGUGUUACGUAUAAUAUGUGCAUAUAUCAUAUGUAUGAUAGGAACAGUAAAUAUAAACUAACCGGGGUCUUUUGUUUUUUCCCUUUCUAUUGCAUGGCCACUUGGGCCGAAGUCCAUCCACCCUAUUCGAGUCCAAAAAAAAGGAAGAAAGGGAAGCUAAUAUAUUGAAGGCCCAAUUGUUGACACGCAAUUUUGUCCCACUUUUUCUUCAAUUAAUUUUAUCUGUGCUUCUUGAUCGUUAAUAAUUUGGACGAGUUAUUUCAAAUUUACUUAAGAAAGCACUGUAUUAAUAUUUUCAAUAUUUAUUGCACGGUUAUUUAUUUUAAUAAGAGGUUAUAUUAUAUAUAUCUGAAAGUGGCUAAUCCUAGUCCAAAUUAUUUAGAUGAAGAUGUCCAAAUAAAUUAAUUAGGAGAAGAAAAUACCCAACAAUUUCAGUCAUUUGAAGCCAUUUUUACAAGUCCAAUUCGGACCAGCCCAUUUUUUUAAAUUCUACCCGAUCCAACCCAUUUUCCUUUUCACCCAGUCCAGCCCAAUUAACUCCCAUUUCAGACCAACCCAGUCCAUUACCUAAAACGACCCGACCCGACCGGCCCAACCCAUUUCCCUUCAAUUGUUCAUCAUCAGCUAAACAAAAGGAAAACCUAGCCGCACUCUCUCUCUCAUCUCUCUCUCUUCGUCAUCUUCCUCUCUUCCUCCCCAUUUCUAGCCAAAACCCUAAUCCCUUUUGCCAUUUCAGACCAUGCUCGGCCAUUUUGGGCAAGAUUUUAUUGAAAUCUGUCGUCUUCUUCAUCUCUCUCCCUCUCCACUUCUAGAAAAAGCCUAAUCCCCUUUAACCGAAUUCAGACCGUGCCCUUUCCAUUUUCACGAAAUCUUUUGCUUUAACAUAAAACUUUCAGAAGUUCACUGCAAAAGAUCAAAAAACGAACAGCUUUAUUCAAAUUCAACGGCUCGUUUUUGACUCGUUUUCGAAAUUCAAGUUCAAAAAUCCCGCCUGAAAAUCUAAAACCCUAAACAUCGCCUAUAAAUACUCUCUUAUACUCUCAGCCAAAAAAAAAAAAAAGAGGACGAAUCCCUACUCUCUGUUUUUUAAGUAUCUGGUUCAAUUCAAAAAAAAAAAUGGAUUGGAAAACGCGAGUAUUUUUCUGUCACAAGAACCUUGAGUUCCUUUUUUUCAAAAUCUGGUCUGAACCCUACUUACAUUUUGAAAUUCUGGACACAAACAUAAUUUCCCCUUUUUUUUAAACGAGAGUAUACUGUUUCUGUCGAUAUCGAGACUUUCGAUUCGAAAGGUUUGUCAAAUUUGAGUUCGUCGUGUUCGAACGUAGAUUCAAGACUCAUACCCCUGUUCACUGCACACGACAAAGGUCAGUGCAAUCCCUUCCUUCCAUUUUUUGGUUCGUUUUGAUUUAUGACGUGUGUUUGGAUUCCCUGUUUGCACGUUUAAAGUGUUUUAGUUUCAAGUUGGUGCUGCGAUAAAGCUUGUAUGUCCGAUGUCGCAAAAUAGGAAGUUAUGACCGAUGUCGUAAAAUAAGAAGUUACAUUUAUCUUUUUGAUAAUGGUUGUUGCUCAUUUAGUAUAUUCAGUGUUUCACUUGAAAAUAGGGCUUAAAAUCUCUAUUUGAUGUUCAUAUGAGCCAGUUUUUUGAAGUUAGUCAAUUAUAGUUUAAUCUUGUUCAGUGAAUUUCAUGCCUGCUUAGUGUGUUAAUCAUGUCGUUUGAUUGUUAGUUGAUUUAGAUUAGGCAUCAAACUUGCUUGCGAUUAAUAUAUGUCCUGUUUUUGAAGAUCAUAUUUAGUUAAUAAUGUUUCAUGAGUUUGGAUCUGGAUAGAUGACCUGUGGUAUGUUAGCGAUGUUGUCGCCUCAGUUAAGUAUGCAUAUAUUGAAUGCAGCCCUGUCUAAGUUAGAUUUUCCUGUUUGAAAGGCCACAGAUUUUAAUGAACUUGAAAUCAGAAUACUGUGUGUGAUCAGUGUUGUCCAUUUUGUUAAAUGUGCUCAGGCAGUUUAGUGAUGAGUUAAAACUGUCCCUACAUGUCUCUAGAUUUGAGCUAAAACUCCCUAAGGUCCUUUUAUAUGAUUUAAUUUGGGUAUGCCUUUGAACAACUAAAGGUGAAACUAAGUUAAGUUAUGGGUGAAUUUUAAACUUGUUUAAACUGUCUGGUAAUAGCAACCCCUUCAUCUUGUCGGAUCAGACUAUGGAUAAGUUCUAUAAAAUUGAAAGGGGGAAUAAAUAGACAGCCUUUGUUGUUAUGGAUGAGAUUUUGAAGUUUGAAACAUGAUUUAUUCCGAUUACUAAGCAUUUGAAAUAGUUUACAUAUAGCAUUAUAAAACGAAUAUGUUCGACAUACACUUUGCUUCCCCUUCAUCUGAAAAACCGAAACAUAUCCUUACCUUUAUUUCAUUUGUCUAAAUACUCGUGUGUUGGUUUUGACACUGUUUGGUUUGAGUUUGAGUGAAGGAUUGAUUUCAUGAUUCAUCCGCCUUCUUAAGUAAAAAGGAUGGCAUUAAAGUUUGCUCCUUUCUUCCUCUAUCGAUUUUUUUAUGUGCUAAGUUCUUUGUCCAAGAUAUGACGAGUUCCAUUUAGUCUCUUCUUCCACUCAACUGCUCAUGUGCUAUUAAAAGGAAAGCAGGGAAAUAUUACAUAACAGUUUGUAGAAGAAAGUAGAAAUCACUAUUGAUUGUAUGCUUAUGUUUAUCAUUAGAAGUGCAACUUGUGAAUUUUCAGAGUCAUCUUGUUAAUUUAAGAACCAAAGUAUAACUGGGAAGUUUCUCCAAGUUUUGGUAUGUUGAAACAGUCUGAUAAAGAGGGAGCUGGAUCAGCUAUAUAUUCAUCUAGAUCUUAUUUUAAUUGAACCAGUUUAACGCAUAGGAAUUAUAGGGUCUAGGUAUAUUGAAUUCUUUUUUUUUUUCAAACGGGUAUAAACAUCUAAGUGCAGCAUUUCCUUUUGAGUCUGGUAAGUUGAUGUACAAUAUGCACCAGAUCCCGAGAAAUUGGCAAAUUGUAUCAGCCGUGCGCUGUUGGUGUUAUCAAGAGAUAUAAUUCAAAAAGUUUGCCUUCUAACCGUGUCCAAAUUUAACUUCUUGUGAUCUUAUUGCUUGAGCAGUCACUGCCCCCAAAAAAUAUUCAUUGAAGCCCAAAAUUUCUUUUUUCUUUUUUUUUUUCCCUCUAUUUCCUGUUUCUCUUUGAAUCUUGUUAGACAUUUUGCGGGUUACAUUUUAAUGAUUCCAUCUCGUCUAUUUAUUUUCCAUAUCCAAAUCUGCUUCUCGUUCUAAUCCUUUUCCUUCUUUUUUUUUUAUUUGUUUCGCAUGUACACCGGAGCCGAAGAGUCUCAUUUGAGACUCAACGACACCACUUACGGAAGCCCGCAUAUCAUUCACCGUCUUCGCUUUUACUUUGCUUAAGCGGAAAAAUGCAGAAUGUUGCCACUACUUCGUGAAUCCCGAAAUGGCUCUCGUCAUUCCAUGUUGCCAUUGUAUUUAUCUGAUGGUGUGAUUAAGCUUGCUUAUAUGACUAACCUCUUUAUUUCCAUUUUUUAUGUCAUUGAUUGAUUAACGUGAGGCACUAUAUAGUUAUAGCCAAAUUUUA